AACGUAGGAGACAAACGUUAUCCGGAGUUACUGGGCGUAAAGGGCGUGUAGGUGGUUACGUAAGUCUGGCGUGAAAUUUCUCGGCUUAACCGAGGCAGGUCGUCGGAUACUGCGGGACUAGAGGACGGUAGAGGCGUGUGGAAUUCCGGGUGUAGUGGUGAAAUGCGUAGAGAUCCGGAGGAACACCAGUGGCGAAGGCGGUCUGCUGGGCCGUUGCUGACGCUGAGGCGCGACAGCGUGGGGAGCAAACAGG
rnacentral:rRNA from 1 species